GUUUCUGUAGUGUAGUGGUCAUCACGUUCGCCUAACACGCGAAAGGUCCCCGGUUCGGAACCGAGCAGAAACA
rnacentral:tRNA from 1 species